CCUACGGGAGGCUGCAGUGAGGAAUAUUGGUCAAUGGGCGUAAGCCUGACCCAGCCACGUCGCGUGAGGGAUGAAGGUUCUCUGGUCCGUACACCUCUUCUAUAAGGGAAUACAGUGCGGGUCCUGUCCAGCUUUGUAUGUACCUUAUGUAUAAGGAAAGGCUCACUUCGUUCCAGCCGCCGCGGUAAUACGGAGGAUCCGAGCGUUAUCCGGAUUUAAUGGGUUUAAAGGGUGCGUAGGCGGCCUUUUAAGUCAGCUGUGAAAGUCUGUGGCUCAACCAUAGAAUUGCCGUUGAAACUGGGAGGCUGGAGUGUGUGUGAGGCAGGCGGAAUGCGUGGUGUAGCGGUGAAAUGCGUAGAUAUCACGCAGAACCCCGAUGGCGAAGGCGGCCUGCCAAGCCAUGACUGACGCUGAUGCACGAAAGCGUGGGGAUCAAACAGGAUUAGAUACCCGAGUAGUC
rnacentral:rRNA from 1 species